CACACACAAAUACAUAUGUAUUUUUAAUGUAAAUUUUGAUUAUGGAUGUCAGUAGCUUUACUUGUUAGUAGCGCUGUCUCAAGUAGUUUAACAUCAUUUUCAAAGUUUCUAAAGAGAAAGUGCAGAUAACAUAGCCUAUUAAAAUGUUUUAUUGCAUGAUUGUAGACUUUGACAUUGGGAAACAAGGGAAAAUAUAUGUGACAAGAAAUACUAGAAAUGAGUCUGAAAUGGAACAGGUUCUCUGUUCUCUUCCUGAAAUGAGAAAGGCUGUCAGUGAUGCAGCUCUCUGGAGACAACAAAUCUAUGCAGUAGCAAUACUUUGCUUCUUAAAGUUAAGGUGUGAAAGGAGAGCUCUUUUGUGUUUUCUGACACCCUGCAACCUCAAUAAUUUCUGCUAGUCAUUGGUUUCUUUAACUCUUUGGGGCACAGUUUUACUACUGUUGUGAACAAAAUUCGAUCAAAUAUUGAAGACCUCGUGCAUUCACUGAAGCAUCAGGAUAUAGUUUUGGAAAUAGAUGACUUUAGAAACAGAAAUGGCUCAGACGAUCCCUCCUACAAUGGAGCCAUCAUAAUGUCUGGCGACCAGAAGGUAUGUUUGCUUCCGUGUACCAUUUUAUCAUGAGUGGUUUUUGUUUGUUUGUUUGUUUUUGUUUUUUGUUUUGUUUUGUUUUUGCCACAUCUUAACAUUUUGAACUAUAGGAAACUCAUAUUUUCUAACUUGUCAUAUUAGAGGAGGCUUGAAACUAUCUUUGUCACAUAAAAUGUCAUCUUUCCAUGUGAGUGAAUGUUAAUCCAUUUCAUCUACAAAACAAGUCACUUGAAUUACAAAAAUAAUGCAUUCUUAUACCAAUUCAAAGAAGGCAGAAGUGUCAAAGAAAAAUUAAUAUUCUCCUUCUCAUCCGAACUCCACUCUGGUAAUAUAAAAAAUAUCCAAUAAAUGUAUUUACUCCAAGAACUUAGAACUUAUAUUUGUGUACUUUUUUUUUUUAAGGAUUACAGGUUUUAAGUUGCAUGUAAUACCAAGAAAUUUAAUUGUUUUCCUGUUCUUAUGGGUAUUGUUAGCAAUGCCUUAUUGGAAUUUUUUACUUCACGGAGCUUAUUCAAAUGGAGAGCAGCUCAUUUUCUUGUGUAAGUAGAGUAUUGACUUAUGUAAGAGGCAACACAGCAGAGUAACAAAGGAUGAGGGCUCUAGAGCCUACCACCUGAGUUCAAAUCCUGCUUCUUCCACUUAAUAGCAAAUUUCUUAGCUACCCCUUGCCUUUGUGUCUUUAUCUGCAAGACAGGGAGUGUAAUAAUAUCUACUUUAUAUAAUUAUUAUGAAAAUUAAAUGAAUUUACUGAGUACCUAGAACACAGCAUGGCAUAUAUGUAUUUAUGUAUAAAUAUAUAUUUAAAUUAAUUCAAUAACUACUUUCUGAGUGUGCUAUUUUCUGGUACUUCUAGGUGUCGAGAAUACAGCAUGAGCAGAGAAAACAAAAGUCUCACCCACAUGGAGCUUACAUUCUUGUAAAGAGGAAGCAUUCAAAUACAUG